rnacentral:rRNA from 1 species
AUGGGAGGGAGACACACUUUAGUUGACUCUGUUGUCACUCAGAUAUCCUUGUAUCAUAUGUCCAUGUGGCUGAUGAACAAAACGUUCAUUGAGAAAUUGGAUAAACAUAGAAGAAGAUUCUUCUGGCAAGGGUGUACCAAAAAAAAGAGAUACUAUCUCGUGAGAUGGAAUAGGAUCUGCAGAUCCAAAGAAAAGGGUGGUCUAGGUAUUAAAGACCUGCGCAAGCAAAACAUUAGUCUGAUGGUGAAAUGGUGGUGGAAGCUUGAAACUCAAAGUGGGUUGUGGCAAGACAUCGUUCGCGCUCGUUACUUGCGGAAUAGAACGGUAGCUGAUGUUGUCCCAAGGUUUUCUGACUCUCUCUGUUGGAAAGCCUUACUGAAAGUCAAGGAAGUUUACAUGACUGGUAGAAAGAUCAACAUCGAAUCUGGAAACAUUGCCAGGGUAUGGAGUGACUCUAUUAACGGACUGCUUCCGUUUAAAGAGCAUUACUCUCAACUCUUUGACAUUUGCAAUAUCCCUGAAUGUACUAUCAAACAAGUGCUGGAUAUGGAUAGUGCUGCCUUUUUUAGAAGAAGACUCACUCCUGUGCUGGCU